rfam:Camelus ferus unplaced genomic scaffold scaffold105, whole genome shotgun sequence.
GAGGGUAUAGCUCAGUGGUAGAGUGCAUGCUUAGCAUGCAUGAGGUUCAAUCCCCAGUACCUCCU